AGAGGCUGUUUUCAGGCACUCUUGUUCGCACUUCUCAUAAGAGUGUCGGAGCAAAACAUCCAUGUCGUUCAUGCUACUCUUGGAGAAACCGUCAUCUUACCGUGUUUGACUGAUCAGAUUAAUUCAAAUGUGUUCUGGCGAUACAGCGAAAAGCUGACGGUGUGUGACAUCAUCAAAGGCAAAGUGGAUUUUGAGGAGCAGGACCCGGUGUACAAGGACAGAGUGGAGAGUUUUCCCUCAGAGUUUGCAAAAGGAAAUUUCUCAAUUAAACUAAUCGGAGUGAAGCGGGAUUUCGAAGGAAUUUACACCUGCAACUUUCCUACCAAACUUGUACCAGAGAGCAUAAAACUGACCAUAAAAGAGCACUUACCAAAAUCAUCCCCAAGACUUCAGGAAAAUACAGCCACUAAAGGACAAGUACACAUCUUCACCUUGUUUUCUGCAGCUCUUCUGGGACUUUAUGUGACUUUCUGCCAGUCGUAACUCUUUUUCAUUGAUUUAGAUAGUAAUAUGUAAAUAUUUCUUUUUUUAUUUAUUAAACAAUAAAUGUACAUAGUGGAUUAAAAAUAUAUUACAUGAAAUAACACCA